UCCGGCGCUAAAAUCGUUCCAGAAUCCCGCACAAUCCCCUUCACAACGCGAUCUCCUACAACAACAGUUAAUCCCGCACGAUCUCCUUACACAACGAUUGUGCAUGCUGUCCUCGUCUUGAUGUAGCCACAUUCGAGCCACGUCUCCUUCCCUCUCGCUCGCACUACGACCACCGCCAUUGACCGUCUGCGCCGAGGACAAGGCCAGCGCAUAGAUCAAAACAACGAGACACAGUCGCAUCCGUCGGCGACGUACGGAUCAGGAGCCAGCUCCUGAGCCUUCAUGCCGCCGGACGGACGCACGGAGCCACGGACAGGUUGUCGUCUGCGUCGUUCAGGAAUUCGGGAGUAUCGUCGGAUUUCUACCAUGUCGGUGGCGUUGGAAGUAUGACCGGUGCUAUGGGACUGGACGUGCACUGGUCCAAGCAAUGCAAACAAGAUGAGGGCCCGGGGCUCGCCAUCUCCCGCCUCAGGUAGCAGGCAGCGGCCUUUCGAGUCCGCCAUCGAGGUCAACGACAUCGACGUCGUCCUUCAGCGUGCAGCCGUGGAUCAGCUACUCCACCGUGACGAUGCGGAAGGCGUUGAUGUUCUGUCCUCUGCGCUCAAUUCCAGCCACAUCGAUAUAAAGGAGGCGAGUAUUUUCAUUGCUGAACGGGACACGUGAGAUGGUGAAGGAGAGACUGUUUUCGGGGGAGUAGCAGGAGGCCCUGCACGCUGACAACCUCAAGGUGCCACGCCGAAGACGACUAAGAAGCUCGACGGGAACGAGUAGCGGGUCUUCCUAGAGUGGCACUGUAACAUCACGAGGUUGGCGCAAGUCUCAUUUGUUUCUGUGCCGUUGUUCAAAAAUUGUUGCCAUCAAUGUUUUUUCCGAAGCCAUAUCCCAGGUCAUGUCUUAGAAGACAUAAUCCCCCAUGCUUAAUCUUAAUAGUUCGCCCAUCCACUUGUAUUCUCUUCACACAUCCUGCCAGGUGCCCCCUGGAUUUGAUCCAUGUGGUACCUAGACUACUGCAGUGUAAGCACUUUCUCAUUUUGAUAUUUGCAUAAGGCGUCGUAUCUUAUGCAUCCACACGAUUCGUGUAUCCCUGCAUCCAAAACAAUUAUGACCAGUUGAUCCUAAUCGUAGCGUUUAGAGUGAUUUUCUAAAAACAUGCCCGCUGCCUCCCUACCUAGCGCUGCAAAUUUGCACAUGCACCCCUGUCGCACCAGACGCACAAGCCCACGUCGUACCCCACGAUCAAUCGGAGUUGCAAGUAUCGAUCUCCAUGGCGGCGACCCACAGGUAGACUUCAAGACACGAAGAGAAUCCAUCGGACGGCCGGAACUCCGACCAAACACAGGAUCACGGCACUUGUUGGAUUUCGUCCGAUCUUCUAGGGCGGCUCUCGCCGUGCACUUUCCAGCGAGGUACGUACUUCCAGCUGAUUCAAUAUCGUUCUGAAACUUUCAGCUAGCCAUGCGAACCUUAUUGAUUAGAAUUUUCUACAUAUUGUACUGGGAGUCUGGAACUAUCAUGUGCUUUAAUCAAACAGCAGCCACAAACAUAU